CGGUGCGUAGCUCAGUCCGGUUAGAGCGCCUGGUUCGGGACCAGGAGGCCGCAGGUUCAAAUCCUGCCGCACCGACCA
rnacentral:tRNA from 1 species